rnacentral:rRNA from 1 species
AGUGAACGCUGGCGGUAGGCCUAACACAUGCAAGUCGAACGGCAGCACAGUAAGAGCUUGCUCUUACGGGUGGCGAGUGGCGGACGGGUGAGGAAUACAUCGGAAUCUACUUUUUCGUGGGGGAUAACGUAGGGAAACUGACGCUAAUACCGCAUACAACCUACGGGUGGAAUCAGUGGAUCUUCGGACCUUGCGCGAUUGAAUGAGCCGAUGUCGCAUUAGCUAGUUGGUGGGGUAAGGGCCCACCAAGGCGACGAUCCGUAGCUGGCCUGAGAGGCUGAUCAGCCACACUGGAACUGAGACACGGUCCAGACUCCUACGGGAGGCAGCAGUAGGGAAUAUUGGACAAUGGGCGAAAGCCUGACGCAGCAACGCCGCGUGGGUGAUGAAGGUCUUCGGGUUGUAAAGCCCUUUUGUUGGGGAAGAACAGCUGUAGGUGUAUCUAUGGACGUCUUGACGGUACCUAAACAGUAAGCAACGGCCAACUUCGUG